UAUCCUACGGGGCGCAGCAGUGGGGAAUAUUGCGCAAUGGGCGAAAGCCUGACGCAGCGACGCCGCGUGAGGGAUGAAGUCAUUCGUGAUGUAAAGCUCUAUCAGCAGGGAAGAAAAUGACGGUACCUGAGUAAGAAGCCCCGGCUAACUACGUGCCAGCAGCCGCGGUAAUACGUAGGGGGCAAGCGUUAUCCGGAUUUACUGGGUGUAAAGGGAGCGUAGACGGCCAGACAAGUCUGAAGUGAAAAUCCAGCGCUUAACGUUGGAAGUGCUUUGGAAACUGCCGGGCUAGAGUGCAGGAGGGG
rnacentral:rRNA from 1 species